rnacentral:rRNA from 1 species
GAUGAACGCUAGCGGCAGGCUUAAUACAUGCAAGUCGAGGGGCAACAGGGGUAGCAAUACCUGCUGGCGACCGGCAAACGGGUGCGGAACACGUACAGAACCUUCCUUUAAGCGGGGGAUAGCCCAUAGAAAUGUGGAUUAAUACCCCAUAGUAAUAUUGAUUGGCAUCAAUUGAUAUUUAAAGAUUUAUCACUUAAAGAUGGCUGUGCGGCUGAUUAGGUAGUUGGGUGGUAACGCCACCAAGCCGGCGAUCAGUAACUGGUGUGAGAGCACGACCAGUCACACGGGCACUGAGACACGGGCCCGA